rnacentral:rRNA from 1 species
GACGAACGCUGGCGGCGUGCCUAAUACAUGCAAGUCGAGCGGACCAAACAGGAGCUUGCUCUUGUUUGGUUAGCGGCGGACGGGUGAGUAACACGUGGGUAACCUGCCCGUAAGACCGGGAUAACUCCGGGAAACCGGAGCUAAUACCGGAUAACACCGAAGACCGCAUGGUCUUUGGUUGAAAGGCGGCUUCGGCUGCCACUUACGGAUGGGCCCGCGGCGCAUUAGCUAGUUGGUGAGGUAACGGCUCACCAAGGCGACGAUGCGUAGCCGGCCUGAGAGGGUGACCGGACACACUGGGACUGAGACACGGCCCAGACUCCUACGGGAGGCAGCAGUAGGGAAUCUUCCGCAAUGGACGAAAGUCUGACGGAGCGACGCCGCGUGAGCGAAGAAGGUCUUCGGAUCGUAAAGCUCUGUUGUUAGGGAAGAAGAAGCGCCGUUCGAACAGGGCGGCGCGGUGACGGUACCUAACGAGAAAGCCCCGGCUAACUACGUG